rnacentral:tRNA from 1 species
AUCUUAUUAGUAUAUAAGUAUAUUUAACUUCCAAUUAGAAGGUUUUGUAAUUAAAUAAGAUA